GACGAACGCUGGCGGCGCGCUUAACACAUGCAAGUCGAACGGAAAGGCCUGCUUUCCCUUGUGGAUUGCGGGUACUCGAGUGGCGAACGGGUGAGUAACACGUGAGUGAUCUGCCCCCAACUUGGGUAUAAGCCUGGGAAACUGGGUCUAAUUCCCGAUAGGACUGCAGGGUGGUGCCUGUGGUGGAAAACGAUUUUCUAGUGGUUGGGGAUGAGCUCGCGGCCUAUCAGCUUGUUGGUGGGGUAAUGGCCUACCAAGGCGGCGACGGGUAGUCGGCCUGAGAGGGUGGACGGCCACAUUGGGACUGAGAUACGGCCCCGACUCCUACGGGAGGCAGCAGUGGGGAAUAUUACACAAUGGGCGGAAGCCUGAUGCAGCGACGCCGCGUGGGGGAUGUCGGCCUUCGGGUUGUAAACUCCUUUCGACCGCGAGGAAGCCACCUGGUUGGAAGGGUGGUGACGGUAGUGGUAGAAGAAGCACCGGGUAACUACGUG
rnacentral:rRNA from 1 species